CGGUGUCAAUCUGAGGUGCUCUAGGUAUUGUCUGCUAGUGUUUAAAAUUUUCAGUGAGUACGAGGUGUCAAUUGUGAAUGCAUGGCGUUUGUAUGUUACAGCAUAAAUCAAAUAUCUUGAAAUGGACACAUCUUUCACUCUGAGCAACAGCCCUUCACCUGUAAAAAAAUCGGGAAACUCUCAGCGAGCAUUUGAACUAGCUGGGGAGCUAUAUAGCCAGAUCCAACAAUGGUAUCUCUUAAUCACUACAGGAAGAAAUAUAAUCAAUAACAUAUUGCAGCUGAAAACAAAAUUAUGGGAAAAUCCAGGUAAUGCUGCUGAUUUGUCGGAACUACAAUUCCAGUGUGAUCAACUUGGAUCAGUUGUUUCUGAACUGGAGGUGCUGCCUAAACAAAUGGAAAAAAUACAAGACCAGUACAAAGCAUUGGAAAAAUUGGGUGAACUUCAGAAAAAAAUUGGAUCAAACAUCACAUGUGAUUCCACACCAUUAAUGUUUCUUACUUGGCCAAACUCCAAAUUUGUUGUAGUUGUCACUUCCAUUAAAGAUGCUUUUAAUAAGGAGUUGCAAUUGAAAAAAUGCAUUGCUGAAAAUGUGGCACAUUGUCAGCAGAAACAAAUGCUUGAUUUACAUAAAAUUGCCUGGGUCCAUCAGGUUUAUGUAACUUAUACUACUAAGCUCCAGUUAGAAGCCCUCUUGGUAGAAACUGGUCAACGUUGAAGACAUUUAUUGGCAAUUGAAGAAUUUUAUUUCCCAGAUGAGAACUUUUUAAAGAUCGGCAUGUUUUAUACGUUAAAUACCAUAGAACACCGAUUUUUAAAAAGUGAUUUGAAAAAUGUCUUCAAAUGCAGAAAAUGCUAUUUAAUUUAAAACGACUUGCUAGAGAUCGCAUCCGAGGCGCUCUAUCUCUUCUGCGAAGAAUUCCAUGUCUUUCGUAUUGACACCCGAGCUUUGUAGAACUAGUCGGAAGAAGUUUGGCAAAUUUCUCAGCGGUUGGUAGGUGAUCAUCAUGCUGCCCUUUUUGAUCAUACGUUCUUUGAUCUUUGGAGCGAUCUAAAUCGAAUGCGGUUUUACGUAAAAAAGAAAUUCUCCUUUAAAUUGUAAAUCGAAGUAAGAGCUAUUGUACUCGGUGUAGCUUUUCAUGAUAAUCUUCGUCAUGCUGAGAAUUUCGAAGGCUUGGCGGAAUAUACCAAAAGCAUACGUUCACGAAUGAUGGCUCCUCUAGUACUAGUUUGAAACCUUCGCGAUCCCGAAUAAUUGAAGUGAAAUAGGCUGCAUUUUCAAAGAGUGUAUCCACAUGUCUUUCCAAGCCUAAACUUCCCUGCGAUAAGUUGAGAUGAAAGGGAAGAGCAAUGGCGUUAAGAUACUUGCUCGCUAGUUUUAAUUGGUUAGCAACAAUUCCUCCUAAGUUUAUUCUGUACAAUAAUUUGAGCAGUGUUUUUUUUUGUGAAAAUUUACCUUCGCUUGCCACAUCAGCCAAAAUUUGAGGACGUCUGCUCGUCGUCCGCAUUGCAGAUAUUUGUCUCCGACGUCCCACUUGGGAUCAUAAAACUUAUCUUUUUGAAACAAAUAAGACGCUGAAGCGGAAUUGGCCUCCAGGAGAAGGUUUAGAUGUCGUGUCAAAAAAGUGGAACACUGCUGAGGUACCCCAAGCAAUUUGUGGGGGUUCCACGUUACGGAAUCGGCUCUGGAUAUGACGAUGCUUUGUGGACAUAAGAGCUCCGCCUCCCCAUGCUGCGUCUACAUGCAUCCAUAGACCAAAUUCUUGACAUAUGUCAGCGAUCCCGUCAAGAGGAUCUGUUGAGCCUAAGACGGUGGUUCCUGCGGUUAUAUACAAUGCCGAUAAUUAAGAUAAGUAAGAUUUUGAUACUGGUAAAUUAUAUUGACCGGCUGUGGCCGACACCAUAAAUGGUCUGGCACCCUCCUUGAGAGCUCUUUGUAUUUCUUCUCGAAGAUGUGCGAGAUUCAUUCGACCAUCAUUAUCCACAUCUACUAGGUAAAGAUUGGAUGUGCCUAUUCCAAGAAGGAAACAAGCUUUCUUGAUUGAAUAAUGGGCAUCUUUGGACGUCAAAACCACUAGGCGACGUGAUGCAAAAGUUCCUUUUUCCUGAAAUUUCAAUAAAAGCUGAAAAAUCAGUUUCCUACCAUUGAAUGAUGCAACACAACCGUGUUUUCUAGAAAUUGCAACCUCAUAAGAAACAUUGGUUGAAAUCGAAUCCUUGGGUUUACUUUCAAAUCCGGCAUAGCGUGAUGUCGAGCACAUUGAAUCCCGUAUAUAUUAGCCAUUGAACCGCCUGGGCAAAAAACUCCAUCGCCACUGCCACCUGGGAAUCCUACGUAACGUCGCAUUUCGCAAAGAAGUUUAUGCUCCAGGAGCGUAAAAACAGGAGCAACUUCGUAUGUAUAAACACUGGGAUUCAAAGAAUCUGUUACCCACUGGGCCACAAGUCCGUAUGGAUCCAAACUAGUUUAAGGAAAAAAAUAAUCAAAGGUAAGUUAUAUAAUUGGUAUAGAUUUCGGUGUGGCGUUAUCAGUAGAAUAAUACGUUUUUCUUUACCUUGAAAAUAGUUGAUUGAUGAAAUGUGGAUGACCAGUCUUUACGCUGUAACGUACAACGUCCUUUAUAAGUUUGAUUAGAUUCUCGUCCGAUUCAGGAUUUUUUGGCAGCUCUUCUCCCAGUAAAGCCAUCAAAGAUUCUGGCUCCAUCCAUUCGAUGACUAAACUAUCAUUUGACGUUCCCUGGAACACAGCUUCUUUCAACAGAAUAUCAAUAACCUGUCGGAUGAAUUGUUCGUGUUGGUAUUUGGAAGGUUUUGUUUGAAAGCGAUCCAUUAAAGUUGGUGUUUCAGAGUUCAGUUUACAGUGCGAUAUAACGGUGUUAGUGUUGUCUUUUUGCAUUGUGGAACAAGUCGUGUACGCGUAACACGGUUGAAAGCUACCGACAAGCAGUGAAAAACUGAAAGAUCAAUUGUGGUCAGCUGCUUAUAUACUCCGGACACUAAAAUGGCUACAACGUACGUUCGAUCUCACUGAUCGCCUGUGAAUUGGAUUCAGAGGGAAACUGAAACGACUUCACCAACGUUAUUCCCUACAUGGCAGGACAUAUUCCAAACGAAGGAUUUCCGUCGUGUUUAUACGAAGGAAGGCAGCAAUUGCAGUUUGAUUUUCUACUUUCAUUUCGAUGCGAGCAUUUGGUUUACCAUCGAUCGCAUCCAACCGGUUGAAGCUAGUUAAGUUUUUUUUUUUCAUGUAAUUGGCAUUCAAUUUCCUCCGGUGUGUAUCGUAUUGGGUUUUCCUCCCAAACAAAAUUGCCAAAACUUCUGUGUUUACCAUGGCGUAUUCGACCAUGGUUCUCUAGGGCACCGAAAGUGCAUAGAUUCAUGCGAAGUUGUUGAAGACGUCAACAAAUUAAUGUAACUUUAAUUUUGAAUUGCGCUUUAACGUAACCUUAGAACAAUAAAUUGGUCUGCCGCUUUGA